CCAUAAAUAAAAGCCAAGGGCAAUCUUUAUCGAAUGUUGGUCUCUUUCUUCCUAAACCAGUUUUUACACAUGGCCAACUAUAUGUGGCUGUGUCUAGAGUAAAAACAAAGAAGGGUUUGAAGAUUUUAAGCUUAGAUGAAGAAGGAAAGAUGUCUAAAUCGACCAAAAAUGUUGUGUACAAUGAGGUUUUUGAUACUCUAUAAUUGAUUAAUCAGAAUAGAAUGGUCAGAGACCCGGUAUAGGAGUUCCUAUCAGAUGCAAAAAGCACCAUGGAAAAGGAAGCUAACGAAGGCCACAAUUUCCUAGCUAAUACAAAGCCUGUUACACACAAGGACCUCUCAUCAUUUUGAAGGAAUGUAAUAAGCAUUAAAUUCAUCAAGUUGGACAUGGUUGCUCACGGCUUGGAAUUGGGAUAUGUUUAUAUGCUGGCAACAUUCUUCAAAAAGAUGUGAUAUAAUUGUUGAUUUUUUUGCAAAUGUGAUUUGAAUGGUGGCUGAUGAAAGAGAUAGCUAUUUAAUUUUUGGAAUAUAAUUGACAUGAUAAAACUUAUGUUUAGAUGUAAGCACUCUUAGAUAU